AUGCCCCGACGAGUAGGCAGGCGUGGAGGUCCGUGACGAAGCCUUGGGGGUGACCCCGGGUAGAACGGCCUCUAGUGCAGAUCUUGGUGGUAGUAGCAAAUACUCAAAUGAGAACUUUGAGGACUGAAGUGGGGAAAGGUUCCGUGUGAACAGCAGUUGGACACGGGUUAGUCGAUCCUAAGCCAUAGGGAAACUCCGUUUUAA
rnacentral:rRNA from 1 species